AUUGAACGCUGGCGGCAGGCCUAACACAUGCAAGUCGAGCGAGAGGCGGACGGGUGAGGAAGGUCUGGGAAACUGCCUGAUGGAGGAGGAUAACUACAGGAAACGGAAGCUAAUACCACAUACCAUCAUAAGUGCCAAGAUGGGAUUCGCUAGUAGGUGGGGUAACGGCUCACCUAGGCGACUAUCCCUAGCUGUUCUGCGCGGAUGCCCAGCCACACUGGAACUGAGACACGUUCCAGACUCCUACGGCAUGAACCAGUGGGGAAUAUUGCACAAUGGGCGAAAGCCGGAUGCAGCCAUGCCGCGUGUGUGAAGAAGGCCUUCGGGUUGUAAAGCACUUUCAGCGGGGAGGCGUUACCCGCAGAAGAAGCACAGGCUAACUCAGAGCCAGCAGCCGCGGUAAUUC
rnacentral:rRNA from 1 species